UAUAUGGGAAGAAUGCGCAGUCAAUGUGAUGUGGAGCGAGUUUCUUUUCUCCUCCCAUCGUUCUCUCGGCACAACUCCACAAUCUCUACUUGUCUGUCCUUCAUCGAGAACAACAGUAUGAAGAACCAUCACUGUGUCGCAUAGGGUUUCUUUUAUACUCAUUCUUUGUAGACACGUACAAGAAGCAAGAUAGGAAAAUGGGUCAAGAUGGUUUUAUGGCUUUCAAGAGAAGCGGAGCAGGUGGCGGUGCUCUUCCCACUACAAACAGACUCUCCGGAGGUCGUCCUCCAUCCGGCAUCCCUCGCGGCCGUCAGAUCCAGAAGACCUUCAACAACCUCAAGAUCACAGUCCUCUGUGGCCUCGUCACCAUCCUCGUCCUCCGCGGCACCAUCGGCGUCGGCAACCUCGGCGGCUCUGACGCCGAAGCCGAAAACCAGAACCUCAUUGAAGAAACCAACCGCAUCCUCGCUGAGAUCCGUUCUGAUGGUGACCCUUCCGAUCCAGACGAUCCUGCCGAGACCGAGAUAAAUCCUAACAUCACCUACACCCUUGGCCCCAAGAUCUCAAAUUGGAACGAGGAGCGGAAGGCCUGGCUCAACAACAACCCUGAAUUUCCCAACUACAUAAGUGGAAAAGCUCGAAUCCUGCUCGUUACAGGGUCUCCUCCGAACCCGUGCGACAAUCCAAUUGGGGAUCACUACCUUCUCAAGGCUAUCAAGAACAAGAUAGAUUACUGUCGAAUUCACGGUAUCGAGAUCGUUUACAAUUUGGCACAUCUUGACAAGGAGCUCGCUGGGUACUGGGCGAAGCUGCCGUUGAUCAGGCGGCUUAUGCUGUCGCAUCCGGAGGUGGAAUGGAUCUGGUGGAUGGAUAGCGAUGCACUGUUCACUGAUAUGGUGUUUGAAAUCCCGCUUUCCAAGUAUAAUGGUUACAACUUGGUUAUUCACGGGUACCCAGAUUUGCUGUUUGAGCAAAAAUCCUGGAUCGCUUUGAACACUGGGAGCUUCUUGUUUAGGAAUUGCCAGUGGUCUUUGGAUUUGCUUGAUGCUUGGGCUCCCAUGGGUCCGAAGGGUCCAAUUAGAGACGAAGCCGGAAAGAUCUUGACUGCUAAUUUGAAGGGGCGGCCGGCGUUUGAGGCUGAUGACCAAUCGGCAUUGAUCUACUUGUUGAUGUCAAAGAAGGAAGAGUGGAUGAAUAAGGUGUUCAUUGAGAAUUCUUACUACCUACAUGGAUACUGGGCUGGUCUGGUGGACCGGUAUGAGGAGAUGAUAGAGAAGUACCAUCCUGGAUUGGGGGAUGAGAGAUGGCCAUUUGUGACCCAUUUUGUGGGUUGCAAGCCUUGCGGGAGCUAUGGGGAUUAUCCUGUCGAGAGGUGCCUGAAAAGCAUGGAGAGAGCGUUUAAUUUUGCAGAUAACCAGGUUCUUAAGCUAUAUGGGUUUAGGCACAGGGGCCUGUUGAGUCCCAAGAUCAAAAGAAUCAGGAACGAAACGGCUACUCCUUUGGAAUUUGUAGACCAGUUCGAUAUCCGGCGCCCAGUUCGUGGAGGAACUGAUUCAAAGAGUCACAUAAUGCCUCACUGGUGACUGUUGCCAACUUAUGCCAAGAUUCUGAAGGCAACCUCAACUCAAGUCGGAACAUUUUGUGGAUAAAGUUAGAAGAAAUGAAGCUUUUUGGUGAGGCCCGCGAUGGAAGAAUUGAACAAGGCACUGCCUUGACAAAAGGAGAGGCGCCAUGAUAAGAUAAUCAGAUACUAGAUCAAGAUCUCAUGCAUUGUUCAUCCAGAUUAUCAGAUAAUCUGCAGAAACAGUUGUAGAGUUAAAAGGACUAGUGAUCUGACAGAUAUGCUAUGAUCACGAAUACUUUGUUCUCCCUUCUGAGGCUUGAACCUUGGAGUUCUCUGAGCUCUACGUUUGGUGGCGAUACGCCAGUCGCCAGUACCCAUAUGAUCGGAAAACCGAAGAGCAUGGGAAUCGCCAAUGAACGAAACUAUUGAAUAUGACAUAUCAACUUGAUAGAACUUUGGUUCCCCCAGGCUCCCCAGUGACCACCGUCUGAGAUGUCCAAUCAAACACUAGCACGUUAUCGUCCAGUAAAGAGCAAUAUUCACCUGAUGUUGUAUAUCUCAAUCAAACGGUUGCCUUGUCAUUGUUUUACUCCAUCCCUCAGAAUAGUUCGACGACUUUGUUUUCGCAUUCAAGGGCUGAAGGGAAGGUGCCCAAUAAUUUGAUGGAAACUCCAAUUGGACUGCCUACUCCGGAGUCUGGACUCUGGAGGCGAAUGAUCUUGAUGUCUUGAUAAAGCUUUUCUGCAGUAAUACUCUGACAUUUAGGCUUUGUUCGUUUUUUUUGUAAGUUAUUUAUCCAGGUAAAUAUAGUUAUUUGGGUAAGUUU